GUUUAAAUUCGCAUUUGUAUAUAUCCACCUCAGCAAGAUUUUACUGCCCUUGUUCCUCAAGUCUCAUAAGUCUCGGGCCUCGAUUUCAUUUUGGCUUUGAAUUGUGGGAUUGUAUAACUGGAGAAGCUGAUUUUGGAUUCCUUCCACCAAAACUUUCAUGAAGAAAAGAUACUAUAGCUCUGAAGAAGAACGAUGAGAUCUCCCUCGUUGUUGAUCCUGCUUGUUGAUUGCAUUUUUGUACGUGCAGCUUUCUUAGAAGGGAACACUGACCCAUCGGACAUCUGUCAGAAAUGCAACUCUCACAACUUCUGCAACUGCUCAUCGGUGAAGCUAGAGAAUGUUCCACGUGUAGCGGAAAAUGUACUGGGGUUUGAUCUGUCUCAUAACAAGAUCUCACAGAUUAAGGACACUGAUUUCAUAACAUAUGUGAAACUCAAAAGACUUCUAUUGCAAUCAAAUCGAAUCCACUCCAUUUCGGAGCAGGCACUCCAGCAUAACACAGACCUGGAGUAUCUUGACUUAUCGAAUAAUCUUUUGACACGCCUGUCACCGCAUUGGUUUGAACAUCUUUCCAAAUUACAAUACCUUAACAUUUUAGGAAAUAAUUACACAGAUUUGGGAU